AUGGAAGAAGGUUGCCAGCGACAAUUUUACACCGUCGCUCUUGGUGUUGGUUUUUAUUAUAUAGUGUAUGUGUUCAAUUGUUUAGAAAAAAGGGUUGGGAUCCUCUGCAGUACUGUACGGUACAGUAAAGUCACUGACAUGUGGACCUGGCUCCACAUGUCAGCACUACAUCCCCAGAAAAGUGUUGCAUGUCAUGUAAUAUGUGAGUUCUGUGUAGCUCAGGCUCAGAAGAUCAGUGAGUUGUGUAUAACUUGUGUGAAUGCUGGAGACCCAAGAGUUUGUACUAGUACUAUUUUGUAG
rnacentral:rRNA from 1 species